UGGGGAAUUUUGGACAAUGGGGGCAACCCUGAUCCAGCAAUGCCGCGUGUGUGAAGAAGGCCUUCGGGUUGUAAAGCACUUUUGUCCGGAAAGAAAACGUCGUGGUUAAUACCCGUGGCGGCUGACGGUACCGGAAGAAUAAGCACCGGCUAACUACGUGCCAGCAGCCGCGGUAAUACGUAGGGUGCAAGCGUUAAUCGGAAUUACUGGGCGUAAAGCGUGCGCAGGCGGUCCGCUAAGACAGAUGUGAAAUCCCCGGGCUUAACCUGGGAACUGCAUUUGUGACUGGCGGGCUAGAGUAUGGCAGAGGGGGGUAGAAUUCCACGUGUAGCAGUGAAAUGCGUAGAGAUGUGGAGGAAUACCGAUGGCGAAGGCAGCCCCCUGGGCCAAUACUGACGCUCAUGCACGAAAGCGUGGGGAGCAAACAGGAUUAGAUACCCUGGUAGUCCACGCCCUAAACGAUGUCAACUAGUUGUCGGGUCUUCAUUGACUUGGUAACGUAGCUAACGCGUGAAGUUGA
rnacentral:rRNA from 1 species